rnacentral:antisense_RNA from 1 species
CUUGAUCGAGCCCAGCCACAUCGGGCGGCCGGCGGGCCGGUCCUGCCCGUAGGCGGCGAUCACCGCCUGGGCCUC